CCCUUAGAUGUUCUGGGCCGCACGCGCGCUACACUGACGAAGGCAACGAGUCCCUUGGCCGGAAGGUCCGGGUAAUCUGCUAAACUUCGUCGUGAUGGGGAUAGAUUAUUGCAAUUAUUAAUCUUCAACGAGGAAUUCCUAGUAAGCGCGAGUCAUCAGCUCGCGUUGAUUACGUCCCUGCCCUUUGUACACACCGCCCGUCGCUCCUACCGAUUGAAUGGUCCGGUGAAGCGUUCGGAUGUGUGAGGCGAGACGGUCCGCCGUCCCUCCUCGUGCAGAAGUUCGUUAAACCUUAUCAUUUAGAGGAAGGAGAAGUCGUANCA
rnacentral:rRNA from 1 species